CGUCCUCCCGAGUGCCGGCACUGCCUCCGGCAUUAAGGCGACCGGCAGCUUUCGUCGCCGCCCGUCUGCUUCGGCCGUUGAGCGACAGAAGACGCGGCGCUGGGGCACGGCGCGGGGAGGCCGAGCCUAAUCUCCGUCCCGCGUUCCUCCUCCUGCGCUCUUCUUCAUGGAAAGCUGUGCCAACUUCUCCAAACGUACAGCUUCCUGAAAAAAUAUAACAGAGUUGAACAGAGAGAGCUUGUGAAACAAGAGAUCUUGAAGGCAAAGCACAACGGCAGGGAGAAGCUCAGCCUCGGAUAGGUGUACAUGGCUGCAGCCAGCAGGCGGGCAUGAAGACGCUAGCAGAGACACAGGCCAAAGAGCAGCAAGACCACCUCAGCUACGGAGCAGCCAGAGCGCCUGAAAAUGCGACAAGCACCAGGAGGCUGUGCAUUAUGGUCUGCUGUUUUCAUCAUCCUCACUACUUCUUCUCCUGUUGAAGGGUGAUGAAGAAGACAAAUCGAACAGAACGCAGCUGGCACAUCUGCAGGAACACCUGGAAAAUAAAAAAUUUGG